AUUGAACGCUGGCGGCAGGCCUAACACAUGCAAGUCGAACGGUAGCACAGAGAGCUUGCUCUCGGGUGACGAGUGGCGGACGGGUGAGUAAUGUCUGGGAAACUGCCCGAUGGAGGGGGAUAACUACUGGAAACGGUAGCUAAUACCGCAUAAUGUCGCAAGACCAAAGAGGGGGACCUUCGGGCCUCUUGCCAUCGGAUGUGCCCAGAUGGGAUUAGCUUGUAGGUGAGGUAACGGCUCACCUAGGCGACGAUCCCUAGCUGGUCUGAGAGGAUGACCAGCCACACUGGAACUGAGACACGGUCCAGACUCCUACGGGAGGCAGCAGUGGGGAAUAUUGCACAAUGGGCGCAAGCCUGAUGCAGCCAUGCCGCGUGUGUGAAGAAGGCCUUCGGGUUGUAAAGUACUUUCAGCGAGGAGGAAGGCGUUGUGGUUAAUAACCACAGCGAUUGACGUUACUCGCAGAAGAAGCACCGGCUAACUCCGUGCCAGCAGCCGCGGUAAUACGGAGGGUGCAAGCGUUAAU
rnacentral:rRNA from 1 species